UGGGGAAUUUUGGACAAUGGGGGAAACCCUGAUCCAGCCAUCCCGCGUGUGCGAUGAAGGCCUUCGGGUUGUAAAGCACUUUUGGCAGGAAAGAAACGUCAUGGGUUAAUACCCCGUGACACUGACGGUACCUGCAGAAUAAGCACCGGCUAACUACGUGCCAGCAGCCGCGGUAAUACGUAGGGUGCAAGCGUUAAUCGGAAUUACUGGGCGUAAAGCGUGCGCAGGCGGUUCGGAAAGAAAGAUGUGAAAUCCCAGGGCUUAACUUUGGAACUGCAUUUUUAACUACCGGGCUAGAGUGUGGGAGAGGGAGGUGGAAUUCCGCGUGUAGAAGUGAAAUGCGUAGAUAUGCGGAGGAACACCGAUGGCGAAGGCAGCCUCCUGGGAUAACACUGACGCUCAUGCACGAAAGCGUGGGGAGCAAACAGG
rnacentral:rRNA from 1 species